AGUCGCGAUGAAAGGAGACACAGGAGGAAAGAGGUCAAAACCGAUUAACAUCUAUCAAGAAAUGAAAUUAUAACGAAAGCACAGUGCUAGCAUAGUUGCAGUGUUGAUUUUGAGAUGAUAAAAAUCAGGUUGAAGAACGUUAUUUCGCCAACUAUACAAUGUUACUUAGGGUCUGAUGUUUGUUCUGUGUAAAGUAGGCUACAAAAGCUAAUAUUGAUUCAACGUCUGUCAAGGAAAACAUUGUUACUUUGAAUCUUACAGAAAUGAAGAGGAAAGGUAGUAUAUUCAGUUUUUGUCUCCAAAGAGAAAGGCGAGAGAAAUAGAAAAUGAACAAGUGAGCAAGGUAGACGGAGAAGAUGAGGUGGAAGGAGAGAGAAAAGAGGUGAAAGGAGAGAGAAAAUGGCAACAGAAACGUGACAGAGACAGAAUACAAGGCCAAGGCGACCAGGGACAGGAGGAGGUGGGAGAAGACCACAGAGAGCAUCACCAAGAUGAGGAGGGAGAAAGCGAGAGACAAGAGAACGUGCAGGGCUCAGACAGUGAAAGGGAAAGCAGAGGGCCUGGGCCAUCACCAACCAUCUCCAGUCGAGCUGGUCCACAAGUUGCUGAGAGCCGAAGGUGGUGGUGCUGGUGUCCGGGUGGUGGUAUCCUCUUCCUGUGUGCUGUGUUGUCUACCCUGUUUUCUUUGCUGUGUUCACUGUUAUGUGUUUGUGUGUGUUCAUGGGUGACUCUCCCUGGGAUCCCUCACUGCUUUCGUGACCCCCUUGUAAGGCUUACCAGUCGAGAAGAAGGCAGCAAUUAUAAUUUUCCCCCUGUUCCCUUCCCCAAGCUAUGAAUGUGUUUUAAAUUGUUUUAAAAUUAUUGAAAUAAAAUUUGUUGUUCCUUUUAAAAUUGAA